CAAACCCUAUCCAUCCCUUUCUCACUCUUCCUCCCCUCCUGCGCCGCCUCGUCCUGUCCUCUCCGGCCUGCCACUUCAAGCCGCCGCAGGGGCCUCUCCACCUCCCGCGUUGACGGCCGCCGGCCUUCUCCACAAAGCGCCAGAUCCGCGCCGCCGCGGGCUUCUUGCCGGUGCAGCUACUCGCGCCCUCCCGUUCGGCGUCCAUGGAGGAAGAGCACUUGGAGCCCCGCAAGCAUGCUAGAUCCGGCAGUCGGGCAUGGCGGCCGCGCCGGCCACCACCCGCCGACGGCCUCCUCUCUCUCCCCACAUGCCGCGGUCGGUCAUUCGCCCACCCGCCCCGAGGCCACUAGUUGGCCAGGCUCCUGUUGGGGGUCCCACUGCCCCGGAUCCAUGGAGGAGGAUGACCACAGCUGGGGGUGGAAGGCAACUCUGGCUCCACCUUUACUUGCAGGGGCGACGCGGAUCUAGGGGGUCCUUCUUCCUUCUUGGCUCUCCUUCUUUUUCCUUGGUUCUUGGUGUCCGGCUAACUGCUGUUCCUUUGGGCGCAGGAAACGCUUGUCUGGAAGGAGACCAAGGAGGACGCAGUGCCAUCCUUCGAGGACUUUGAAAAUUCGAAGAACUAUUGCACUUAUGGCCUGCGAAGGGUUAUUCUUGCUUCUGUUUUGAGAUACUUAUUCUCGUAUUUCGAUGUAUAUAUGGCUCAUGUAAUAUUUUAUAUGUAUGAGAUUGGUUUAAAAUGUGGUGUGCUAUUUCUUUAAGAAAUUUGUUUUAACUCUGAUGAUUGGUGAAAUGGGCUUGGGCCAUCAGUAA